AACGUAGGGGACAAGCGUUAUCCGGAUUUACUGGGCGUAAAGCGCCCGUAGGCGGCCUGACAAGUUGGACGUGAAAGCUCCUGGCUUACUGGGAGAGGCCGUUCAAAACUGUCAAGCUAGAGUCUGGAAGAGGAGAGCGGAAUUCCCGGUGUAGUGGUGGAAUGCGUAGAGAUCGGGAGGAACACCAGUGGCGAAAGCGGCUCUCUGGUCCAAAACUGACGCUGAGGGGCGAAAGCGUGGGGAGCAAACAGG
rnacentral:rRNA from 1 species